rnacentral:rRNA from 1 species
AGUGAACGCUGGCGGCAGGCCUAACACAUGCAAGUCGAACGGCAGCGCGAGAGAGCUUGCUCUCUUGGCGGCGAGUGGCGGACGGGUGAGGAAUGCGUCGGAAUCUGCCUUUUCGUGGGG